GACAACCAAUAAAUCCAUCUCUUUGAUCAACUUAUUUCACUCUGGUUCUAUAUCUUCCUCAUGCAAGUAUGCUGCAACAAGAAAGACUUUGCUCGGAUCCUUGACACUCUUCUUGCUUGGUCUUUUUUCAAGGAGGAUUUAUACAUGGCCUCAACAACUUAACUUAUGGAAUAUAUGUAGAGAAAAUUAGAUUCAUGGGCAUAUUACAGAGAAUAGCGAUAGCAUACUUUGUUGCUUCACUGUGCGAGAUUUGGUUUAAAGGAAACCAUAAUGUCAGCUCAUAGCUAUCUAUGAUCAAGAAGUACAGUUU